AAAACAAAUAUGUUUGGAUGAUCCAAUGUAAUUUCUGGCUGUGAUUGAUCCAACAUGUUGACUUUCAUACAAUUACACUUCUGAAAAGAAAAAGUAUGAUAUCAUACGCAUUGAUACUAAAUUUUUGUCCACUGGCUGCUUGUUGGUACGAACCUGGUAAUUAUUCAUAUGGCAGGAUGAUAAAAAUGCAGAUUUCGACAUUGCCAAAUGCCAAGGACUUGUUAUCUGAUAAUGAAUGAGAAUUGUAAAUGGUUCCAGUUGAAUUGAAUUUUGAUCUAAAACUCAGCUACCAACGAAAUCAUCAAAUGGUGAUACUCAUUAGUAAAAUGAAUUUCUGUUCCAUUCCAGCAGCAUACUUCAAACCUAAAACCCUGCUUUGUUCAUGGAAUGAAUCAAUGAAUCCAGUGUAUGAUCAUGACAUGAAUUUGCUAUAAGGAAACUACCUGAUAAAAAUAAUCAAUAUAUUGUUUGAAUCACUUUAGUUCCCCUACUACCAUUUUAACUAAUUUGCUAACUGAAGAUGGUAAACGAAAUCUUGAUCAAGCUUGUGGCCUCCAAUCAAUCACACACGCUUUUGCUUUACAGUUUUGGCAGCUUCCUUGGCAAGCAAGAAGUGAACCCCCCUAACCAGUUCUUCUUUUAUAGUGAAUAUAACAGCAGCAGCAAGCACACUUUGUACAAUUUUUGUUCCCAUACCUUUGUAAAACCCAUUCAACCCCUCAUAGCGAAUCAUUUUAAUAAUAGCAUCCCAAGUACCUGAAUUUAAAGAAAAUUAUGCACAUUUAGAGAGCAAAGGAAGAAAAGAUUAAAAUUUCUAAAAGUUCAAACUUAGUUUUC
rnacentral:lncRNA from 1 species